AAUACCAACCACAGUCCACCAGUUCCCCACAAACUCCUGUUGUUUUAGCUUCUACUUAAAAGCCUACUUUCAAGCAAACUCCGGUGAGCAAGCUCUGUGAGUCAGUAGUGAAUUUAUAUCGGCAAUACAAAUCCCACACAGGUGGAAAUUAAGGGGCAUCCCCCUAAUUUACCUUUGACCAGUGGCUGCAACUUUCCUUUCAUUUUCUCUGGCCAUUACUUCCAAAUUCUUCCUUCU